AGAGAGAGUCUUUAUGCCUCUGUUGAAGAAGAUAUAUCAGGAAAGGAGGAUGGAAGAUUUAGCUCUUAGCUCUGCCCAACUCAAUUCCUCCCUCUACAGCUAAACUCUGCUCCCAGGCACUGCAAUCAAAGCUCUGAAGGUGACUGCUGGGUCCUAGAGAACAGGCCACACCUCUUCUUUUCCUUUAUCAAUCAGCUUUAUGGCUUAUAACUGUGAUGGAUGGUCUUCCCUUCUAUAUAUCAUGUAAAAGAAUUCAUUCUCAAAGUCUACUUGUGUUCACAGCUUGCCUUCUG